rnacentral:rRNA from 1 species
CCUACGGGCGGCAGCAGUGGGGAAUAUUGGACAAUGGGGGCAACCCUGAUCCAGCCAUGCCGCGUGUGUGAAGAAGGCCCUCGGGUUGUAAAGCACUUUCAGUGAGGAAGAACGCCUGGUGGUUAAUACCCAUCAGGAAAGACAUCACUCACAGAAGAAGCACCGGCUAACUCCGUGCCAGCAGCCGCGGUAAUACGGAGGGUGCGAGCGUUAAUCGGAAUUACUGGGCGUAAAGCGCGCGUAGGUGGCUUGAUAAGCCGGUUGUGAAAGCCCCGGGCUCAACCUGGGAACGGCAUCCGGAACUGUCAAGCUAGAGUGACGGAGAGGAAGGUAGAAUUCCCGGUGUAGCGGUGAAAUGCGUAGAGAUCGGGAGGAAUCCCAGUGGCGAAGGCGGCCUUUUGGACUGACACUGCCACUGAGGUGCGAAAGCGUGGGUAGCAAACAGGAUUAGAUACCCUGGUAGUC